rnacentral:rRNA from 1 species
AACAGUUGGAAACGACUGCUAAUACCCCAUAUGCUUUCGAGUGAAAUGGAUUUAUAUUUAUCCGCCUAGAGAGAAGCUCGCGGCUGAUUAGCUUGUUGGUAAGGUAAGAGCUUACCAAGGCGACGAUCAGUAUCUGGUUUGAGAGGACGAUCAGACACACUGGAACUGAGACACGGUCCAGACUCCUACGGGAGGCAGCAGUGGGGAAUUUUCCGCAAUGGGCGAAAGCCUGACGGAGCAAUACCGCGUGAGGGAAGACUGCCUAUGGGUUGUAAACCUCUUUUUUCAGGGAGGAAUCAAUGACGUGUACCUGAAGAAUAAGCAUCGGCUAACUCCGUGCCAGCAGCCGCGGUAAGACGGAGGAUGCAAGUGUUAUCCGGAAUCACUGGGCGUAAAGCGUCUGUAGGUGGUUUAAUAAGUCAACUGUUAAAUCUUGAGGCUCAACUUCAAAAUCGCAGUCGAAACUAUUAGACUAGAGUAUAGUAGAGGUAAAGGGAAUUUCCAGUGGAGCGGUGAAAUGCGUAGAUAUUGGAAAGAACACCGAUGGCGAAAGCACUUUACUGGGCUAUUACUAACACUCAGAGACGAAAGCUAGGGUAGCAAAUGGGAUUAGAUACCCCAGUAGUC